GACGAACGCUGGCGGCGUGCUUAACACAUGCAAGUCGAACGAUGAAGCCGGAGCUUGCUCCGGUGGAUUAGUGGCGAACGGGUGAGUAACACGUGAGCAAUCUGCCCUUGACUCUGGGAUAACUGCGGGAAACUGUAGCUAAUACCGGAUACGACACCUUGGGGCAUCCCAGGGUGUGGAAAGAAUUUCGGUCAAGGAUGAGCUCGCGGCCUAUCAGCUAGUUGGUGAGGUAAUGGCUCACCAAGGCGACGACGGGUAGCCGGCCUGAGAGGGUGACCGGCCACACUGGAACUGAGACACGGUCCAGACUCCUACGGGAGGCAGCAGUGGGGAAUAUUGCACAAUGGGCGAAAGCCUGAUGCAGCAACGCCGCGUGAGGGAUGAAGGCCUUCGGGUUGUAAACCUCUUUUAGCAGGAAAGAAGCGAAAGUGACGGUACCUGCAGAAAAAGCACCGGCUAACUACGUGCCAGCAGCCGCGGUAA
rnacentral:rRNA from 1 species